rnacentral:tRNA from 2 species
GGUAAAAUGGCUGAGGUUAAGCUGUAAACUGUAAAUUUACGUACGAAAUGAUUAUUUCUUUUACCA